rnacentral:rRNA from 1 species
UACGUAGGGUGCAAGCGUUAAUCGGAAUUACUGGGCGUAAAGCGUGCGCAGGCGGUAAUGCAAGACAGAUGUGAAAUCCCCGGGCUCAACCUGGGAACUGCAUUUGUGACUGCAUUGCUGGAGUGCGGCAGAGGGGGAUGGAAUUCCGCGUGUAGCAGUGAAAUGCGUAGAGAUGCGGAGGAACACCGAUGGCGAAGGCAGCCCCCUGGGCUAGCACUGACGCUCAGGCACGAAAGCGUGGGGAGCAAACAGG